AUGCAAUAGUCAUUGGGCUAAAAUGUAGAAAAUAUGUUCUAUUCGUGAUAUUAGAUUUAUUAUUAUUAUAAUAAAAUCUCGCGAUAGUUUUUUCACGGUGGAUUGGUUGGAGCAGAAGCGGAGGGGCGGGGCUUCUCAGGUGGAACAGCAAUUUUCUGCUUCGACACGUGAAUUUUACACGGAGAAAGUGUGGAUCAUGGACAAAAUGAGACCAAAUAAAGCCAACAGAAGGCUGAGCGAGGAGACUAAAGCCAGACUUCAACGUCGCUUCACAAGACUCAGAAAACAUCAUGACGAAUGCCACAGGAGACAUUUAACGAGACAGAAGGCAAAAGAAGCUUCAACAAAAAAAAAACAAGUGCUGGUCUCAUCAGGC